rnacentral:rRNA from 1 species
UACGUAGGGUGCAAGCGUUGUCCGGAAUUAUUGGGCGUAAAGAGCUCGUAGGCGGUUUGUCGCGGUCUGCUGUGAAAACCUAAGGCUCAACCUUGGGCUUGCAGUGGGUACGGGCAGACUAGAGUGCGGUAGGGGUGACUGGAAUUCCUGGUGAUAGCGGUGGAAUGCGCAGAUAUCAGGAGGAACACCGAGUGGCGAAGGCAGGUCACUGGGCCGCAAC